CUACGGGGUGCUGCAGUGGGGAAUAUUGCACAAUGGGGGAAACCCUGAUGCAGCAACGCCGCGUGAAGGAUGACGGUUUUCGGAUUGUAAACUUCUGUUCUUAGUGAAGAAAAAAAUGACGGUAACUAAGCAGCAAGCCACGGCUAACUACGUGCCAGCAGCCGCGGUAAUACGUAGGUGGCAAGCGUUAUCCGGAUUUACUGGGUGUAAAGGGAGCGCAGGCGGGACUUCAAGGUGGAUGUGAAAUGCUGGGGCUUAACCCCGGACCUGCAUCCAAAACUGUAGUUCUUGAGUGAAGUAGAGGCAAGUGGAAUUCCGAGUGUAGCGGUGAAAUGCGUAGAUAUUCGGAGGAACACCAGUGGCGAAGGCGACUUGCUGGGCUUUAACUGACGCUGAGGCUCGAAAGUGUGGGGAGCAAACAGGAUUAGAUACCCCCGUAGUC
rnacentral:rRNA from 1 species